rnacentral:ncRNA from 1 species
GAGAUAGAGGUCGCAUAUUUUAUCAGUAAGCUGUCCGAUGAGACGGGUCAAAGGAAGGCAGUGGAAAGGAAAAUAUGCCGAAGGACCAAGGCAUCCCGCAGAGCCUGGUUCCUGGGCGCAGGGUGAAGAAGUCUGCGACUGUCAUCGAUGGAUGGAGUGCUAUCUGAU